rnacentral:tRNA from 1 species
GGAGACAUGGCUCAAGUAGUAGAGUGGCUGCCUAGCAAGUACAAAGCCCUGAGUUCAAAUCUCAGUGCUGCCA